AAAGGCUUUGUAUAUAACCUGAUUCGGCGCAACUUGCAAGUUCAUGACAUCAGUAUAUACAUUGAGAUGGUUGAUGGGGUCGGUCGUCCCAUCAUACUCUUUAAUGCGAGGAUAUUUGAAUCUGUCGGGCAAAAGAUAUGACAAUAUCUCUGGCGUGAAUGGAGUGUUAGGGGUGAAAACGGUUGGCCCCCGAGCAUUUCGUUGCAGGCUAGCUGUAAUUCUUUCUUGGAUGAUCUGGGCAAUUUCAUCGGAAUCCAUGGCGAUCAAUCUCUACCCUGAGGCCAUAUGUGAAUACGCGAGGUUCCUACUCCACCAGUUGCGGGGCUUGGUGGUCGUGCUCGAGCAUCAGCCAUAAAAUUGCCAUGCUCCGCCUGCGCUGGCGACGGAUGUUAAUUUCUUUGACUUAAGAGUUGCGUGAGCGUGACCACCUGCUGACGGAGCUCUUCAAAGGCUUCGGUUGUGAUGACCAUUGGUAGAGGUAUGGGCACUCCUGACGAUUCUUCAUGGGCACUUGGUUGAUCUUCGGCAAGAUGAGGGAUGGAAGCGAAUGAGCUCGCGGGAGGAAGACCUGAUUGUGUGUUAACCAUGGCUUUUGGUAGUGCUUCCCACAGACGGCUCUAAUGAUGCUACCAAAAAUCGUACCUACAGAUUUUUCGAGCUUGAUGAUUUGGACUGAGCACGAUCUUAGUCUUCCAGUACUUGAAACAAAGGUAUUGAGGUAUGUUCUCGUCACCCCUUCGAUGCUUAAAUCAGAAAGGAAAUUAUAUGCGUGAGGCUAUAAAUUGGAGAAUAAUGAAAACAUACCUGAAUAAUGGCUUAAGGUUCUGUAUUUAUAGUAGUAAGCGAUAUUCUCCUAGUGGGACUCAAAUAUUUGGGUAUCUCUAUCCAAUGGAGUCCUAUUAGGCGAAGAAACUGACCAAUGCCAUAAUCACGUGUGGGAUAGAAUCCUUGCGGGAGUAAAGUAUAUGGUUGAGUUAGAGUCCUAAUUGCAUUGGAAUUGAAGGAUCAACAAUCGUAAGUUAUGAGGAGAGCAUAUAUACUCGAGGACUACUUAUGCUCAAGGACAACCAUCGUAAUAUGUUAAAGCAGCAAGGCAGGGAGUGCUCGAGCAUAAUCUCUCGGGGUGAGUAUAUGCUCGAGCACUUCAUAUGUGGAAUUGCAAGUUUAUCCAAGAUUUAUCGUCGGGAUAAAUGAUUGAGCAUUCAUGUAUUGAUAUCAUAAAAAGGGUAGCGUAAUCCUCGGGA
rnacentral:lncRNA from 1 species